rnacentral:ncRNA from 1 species
UCCUAAAAACACAAAGUUUUGGUCCUAAACUUGCCAUUGUUUUUAAUCAAAAUUACACAUGCAAGCCUCCGCACCCCAGUGAGAAUGCCCACAUACCCCUAAACAGCCAAACGGAGCAGACAUCAGGAUCUCAACAACCGAAGCCUACAACGCCUUGCUACGCCACACCCACACGGGCAACCAGCAGUGAUUAACAUUAAAAAUGAGCGAAAGCUCGAUCUAGUUAUGAUUAAGCCAAGGCCGGUAAAUUUCGUGCCAGCCACCGCGGUUAUACGAGAGGCCUAAAACAAUGACCCUUCGGCGUAAAGCGUGACAAGAACCAACAUCAAAUCAUUGAAGGAAAACCAUACCAAAAUUGUAAAACAUUAUUGGCAUCCAGAGUAUCUCCAAUAAACGCCUUCAAACAAAAAGAUUGUUCAACCUCACGAAAGCUAGGAAACAAACUAGGAUUAGAUACCCUACUAUGCCUAGCCCUAAACACCGAUAGUUGUAUAUACAAAACUAUCCGCCAGAGAACUACAAGCGAAAAGCUCGAAACUCAAAGGACUUGGCGGUACUCCAUAUCACCCUAGAGGAGCCUGUCCUAUAAUCGAUACCCCACGUUCUACCUCACCACCCCUUGCAACUCAGCCUAUAUACCGCCGUCGCCAGCCUACCUUGUGAAAGAAAUAAAGUAGGCAAAAAAGUUAACAACUCACACGUCAGGUCAAGGUGUAGCACAUGGGGCGGAAGAGAUGGGCUACAUUUUCUACUAUAGAAAAUACAAAAGGUCUAAUGAAACCACACCCAAAGGUGGAUUUAGUAGUAAGAUAAAUAAGAGACUUUAUCUUAAACCCGCUCUGGAGCGCGCACACACCGCCCGUCACUCUCAUCG